AUUGAACGCUGGCGGCAGGCCUAACACAUGCAAGUCGAGCGAGCGGCGGACGGGUGAGUAAUGUAUGGGGACUGCCCGAUAGAGGGGGAUAACUACUGGAAACGGUGGCUAAUACCGCAUACUAUCGGAUAACCCAUAGGGGAUUAGCUAGUAGGGGGGGUAAAGGCUCACCAAGGCGACGAUCUCUAGCUGGUCAGAGAGGAAGAAUAGCCAAACGGGGACUGAGACACGGCCCAGAUGCCUACGGGGGCAGCAGUGGGGAAUAUUGCACAAUGGGCGCAAUCCUGAUGCAGCCAUGCCGCGUGUAGGAAGAAGGCUGUAGGGUUGUAAAGUACUUUCAGCGGGGAGGCGUUACCCGCAGAAGAAGCACCGGCUAACUCCGUGCCAGCAGCCGCGGUAAUAC
rnacentral:rRNA from 1 species